UGGGGAAUAUUGGACAAUGGGCGAAAGCCUGAUCCAGCCAUGCCGCGUGAAGGAUGAAGUAUUUCGGUAUGUAAACUUCGAAAGAAUAGGAAGAAUAAAUGACGGUACUAUUUAUAAGGUCCGGCUAACUACGUGCCAGCAGCCGCGGUAAUACGUAGGGACCAAGCGUUGUUCGGAUUUACUGGGCGUAAAGGGCGCGUAGGCGGCAUGACAAGUCACUUGUGAAAUCUCUGGGCUUAACCCAGAACGGCCAAGUGAUACUGUCGCGCUAGAGUGCAGAAGGGGCAAUCGGAAUUCUUGGUGUAGCGGUGAAAUGCGUAGAUAUCAAGAGGAACACCUGAGGUGAAGACGGGUUGCUGGGCUGACACUGACGCUGAGGCGCGAAAGCCAGGGGAGCAAA
rnacentral:rRNA from 1 species